rnacentral:rRNA from 1 species
UACGUAGGUGGCGAGCGUUGUCCGGAUUUACUGGGCGUAAAGGGAGCGUAGGCGGCUUCUUAAGUCAGAGGUGAAAGGCUACGGCUCAACCGUAGUAAGCCUUUGAAACUGGGAAACUUGAGUGCAGGAGAGGAGAGUGGAAUUCCUAGUGUAGCGGUGAAAUGCGUAGAUAUUAGGAGGAACACCAGUUGCGAAGGCGGCUCUCUGGACUGUAACUGACACUGAGGCACGAAAGCGUGGGGAGCAAACAGGAUUAGAUACCCUGGUAGUCCCU